AUCAGUGAGAACUUAAAAUGAAGUUAAAAAUUAAGCAGCAAAACCAAACCCAGACUCUCUGCUCUGAGGAUGUAGGGCUAAACCUGCCUGCCAUGUGACGCAUUAUUUAUCCUUGUGAAAUUGUGGAAUUAUUUGAAAGUGAAGAAGGGAUGAAAACUCUUUCUUUCUUCAAGGUAGCCUUAUAGUCUAGGUCUUACAAUACUGGUUUAAUGGUGAAGGUAAAAGCUCAUCGUGGUGAAAGAGAUUCAGGGCAGAGGGAAUCUCCACCACAGAGUGUGGUACAAUACCCCAGGGGAGCCAAAUGGACAAGAAGCCUUCCACCAGAAAAGGUCCUGAAUUCUGUUCCUUACGCUAUGGACUAGCUCUCAUCAUGCACUUCUCAAACUUCACCAUGAUAACUCAGCGUGUGAGUCUGAGCAUCGCAAUCAUUGCCAUGGUGAAUGGCACUCAGCAGCCUGGUUUACUCAAUGCCUCCACAGAAAGACCUCUUGCAUUCACCCUCAAUCACUCCAACAGAUCCAUCAAGGAAUUUAAUACAGGAGCCUCUGUGUAUGAAUGGAGCCCAGAGACUCAGGGUAUCAUCUUUAGCUCCAUCAGCUAUGGGAUAAUACUGACUUUGAUCCCAAGUGGCUAUUUAGCCGGGAUAUUUGGAGCAAAACAGAUGCUUGGUGCUGGUUUGCUGAUCUCCUCCCUUCUCACCCUCUUUACACCACUGGCUGCUGAUUUCGGAGUGAUUCUGGUUAUUGUGAUUCGGACAGUCCAGGGCAUGGCCCAGGGAAUGGCAUGGACAGGUCAGUUUACAAUUUGGGCAAAAUGGGCUCCCCCACUUGAACGAAGCAAACUCACCAGCAUUGCGGGCUCAGGCGCAGCGUUUGGGUCCUUCAUCAUCCUCUGUGUGGGGGGACUAAUCUCACAGGCCUUGGGCUGGCCUUUUAUCUUCUAUAUCUUUGGUAGUACUGGCUGUGUCUGCUGUCUCCUGUGGUUCACAGUGAUUUAUGAUGACCCUUUGCAUCACCCAUGCAUAACCGCCAGGGAAAAGGAACACAUCGUGUCCUCAUUGGCUCAACAGUCCAGUUCUCCUAGACGAUCUGUCCCCAUAAAGGCUAUGGUCAGAUGCCUACCACUUUGGGCCAUUUUCACGGGGUUUUUCAGUCAUUUCUGGUUAUGCACCAUAAUCAUAACUUACCUGCCAACGUACAUCAGUUCCGUGCUCCAUGUCAACAUCAGAGAUAGUGGGGUGCUGUCCUCCCUGCCUUUUAUUGCCGCCUCAAGUUGUACAAUUCUAGGAGGUCAGUUGGCAGAUUUCCUCCUGUCCAGGAAACUUCUCAGAUUAAUCACCGUCCGAAAACUCUUUUCGUCCCUAGGGCUCCUCCUUCCAUCACUAUGUGCUGUGGCUCUGCCUUUUGUGGCUUCCAGUUACAUAACAACCAUUAUUUUGCUGAUACUUAUUCCCGGGACCAGCAACCUGUGUGAUUCGGGAUUCAUCAUUAAUACCUUAGAUGUUGCCCCCAGAUAUGCAAGUUUCCUCAUGGGGAUCUCAAGGGGAUUUGGGCUCAUCGCGGGAAUCAUCUCCUCCACUGCCACCGGAUUCCUUAUCAGUCAGGAUUCUGUGUCUGGAUGGAGGAAUGUCUUUUUCCUGGCUGCUGCUGUCAACAUAUUUGGCCUGGUUUUUUACCUCACAUUUGGACAAGCAGAAAUCCAGGACUGGGCCAAAGAGAGGACUCUUACCCGCCUCUAAGAAUAUAGAGUUGUAAACUUAAAUGCAGUACUGACGAUUAAGUUUUUUAACAUUUUUUACUUAUUUUUUCUUCAUAUUCAUGGCCAUAGACUCAGCAAUUCUCAACUUUGGUGGUGCGUUAAAAUACCUGGGGUCUUUAAAAUACCCGGAUGAAUGGGCUUCCUCCAGAGAUUCUGAAUGAGUUGGUCUGGGGUAGAGCCCAGAUAUCACUAAUUUUUAGACACACCUCAGGAUUUCUAACAUGAAGCCAGCAUUGACAACUGCUGGACAAACUUGAAACAUCAAUACCUGUUGCCUUUGAAAUUUCCUUUUUGACAGGAACUAGAUAAAUAAAAAUCUGUGUGAAAAUAAUCACCAAUAAAUACCUUCACAGAGGUGAUUAUAGACACAGAGAAGAUCUACUGGAACCAUAGCUGUAUAUUAUAGAGAACAGCGCAGAUAGAAUUUUAAGGCUGUAAUCCACAGAAUUAACAUUUUUAUUGUUUUUAUACGUGGUGAAACAGGGAUGUUUAUUUAUGUGAUUACAUUCUAUUAAAAUUCACAUUUAAAUUAAAUGGGCCAUUUUUAAAUUAUUUACAUCAGGAUAUUUCCAUCAGGCAAAACAGAUAUUUACUUAUCCUCGCUAAUUUCCAGGAGAUGAAUGACCAGGAAAUGACCAAGAGAAAAUUAAAUUAAUGUGGUUUACUGAAAAUCAUGGGAGAGAGAAGAUAGAAUUGGAAAUCUUGCAAAGUAAAAAGAAUGGAGCUGAAGGAAGUCAGUGUGGCACUUCUACAAGAGACAAUGAAAUCACAACAUUGUAAAUCAACUAUACUCCAAUAUAAAAUAAAAGUUAAAUUGAAAAAAUUUUAAAUAAAAAUAAAAUUAAAAAAGAAAGCUGGAGGAAGAUGACAGAGACACUUUCAAAUGAAAUGAAUGUUCAAAUGGAGGAGAAGAAUCUUGAAGGUAUAACAAGAUGAAAGAAAUCAUAAAACAAUACCAUCCACCAGAGAAAUUCCUUUUCAGGAUUGGCCUUCUUCAUAUUUUCCUUAUUUUCCCAUGGUUCUCAAAUAGUCAUCAUCAACCCGAGAGGAAUGAAUUCUGGUUCCUACCACCUAAAGCACAUCCUCAAGUUUGUAUCUUCAUAGAGAGCUGAGGUUUUGCUGCAGCUAUUCUAGAGGAGAAAUUCUAGAAGCCAAGUAGAACCACAGGGACUAGAGCCUUGGGCUAAUUUAGCAGAUAAAAAAAUCUCCUAAUGCAAAUCAGUAGGUAUUUUUGAGCAGGUGUUUUAAAGAAAACAGAUUGCAGGCUCUGAGGGUGAUGAUGUGCUAAGAACACUCUGACUCUGUCUUUGGAUAUUUAUGAUAUGGAGAGGAAGGAGAGUGUAUAGCAAAGAAGAGAAAAAAAGGAAUAGUGUAAUAGAUGGGUGAAUUAAAUACAGGGGAAAAAAAAGAGACAACCCAAUAGGCAAAUGUUUUGAACAAAGACUUCAUAAAAAAGAAAUUCUAAGUAGCCUAUAAAUAUAUAAAUAGGUGCUCAACUUCCUUAGGCAUUAGAGAAAUGAAAAUCGAAACCACAGUGAGAUACCACUUCACACUUAACAGAAAGGACGAAAUAAAAGAAGAUGGAAAACAGUGAAUGUGGGCAAGGGGUGGAGCAACAGGAACUCUCACCCCCUGUGCAUCUGAGGUCUGACAAAUGGAGCGAUUGGGAAGGAGCCUUGGUCUCUGCUUUCUUCAUGUUCUUCCUGAUCCUCUUCCUCCUCCUCCUUUGCCCAACCCUCCAGCAUCAGAGCAGGAGGGAAGGCAGCGGGACAAUCUCUGUGGCCAGCUUUUGGAUCAAAGUCUAAGUUCCUAAACAACAAAAUGAAUGAGCUUUCCAAGAAAAUAUGUCCAUGGAAGCAUCGGUUGUAAGCAUCAGAGGUGAAAAACCAUCAUCAGGAGAGAGGAACAUGAUGGACACCAUGAAAGAGUUGAAUCCCACAGUGGGGAAGUACUUCCAAGAUACACAAGGGGAUGAGAAGCUCAGUCCCAAGAAAGCUCCAAGCUUAUGUUCCACUCGCUAUGGAAUAGCUUUUGUCACACAUCUCUGCAACUUCGUACUAGUGGCACAAAAUGUUGUCAUGAACAUCACCAUGGUAGCCAUGGUCAACAGCACAAACCAUCAGUCCCAGUUUAACGACUCCACUGAGGGGCUGCCUGUUGACCCAUUUGGUGACCCAAAUGAUUCCCCGAAGAGUCUUCCUACAGGGGUAAGCAAUGCAAGAUCUAAGUUGUGGUCUUGUUUUUGCCAUUUGUUUGUUUGGAUAUUUACUCUAUGUUAAAAAGUUUUCAUUGAGGAAAUUGUAAUUUGAAAACAAAUGAAAGAUCUAAUGAGGCUUCUUAAAUUAUGAAAGAGCCGUCCUGUAAAUGGUGUACCAAAAUGUUCUCUGUUUCUCUAAGGCCCCUGUGUAUGACUGGAGCCCUCAAAUCCAGGGCAUCAUCUUUAGUUCUAUCAACUAUGGCAUGAUCCUGACACUGGCUCCCAGUGGAUAUCUGGCUGGAAGAGUAGGAACAAAGAGAGUGGUUGGUGUUUCUUUGUUUGGAUCCUCACUUCUCGUUCUCUUCACCCCUCUGGCAGCCAACCUUGGACUAGUGUUCCUCAUUGCAACUCGAAUACUUCAGGGCCUAAACCUGGGGGCAGGAUAUGGGGGUCAGUUUGCACUCUGGGAAAAAUGGAGUCCUCCACAUGAACGAAGCCGACUCUGCAGCAUUGCUGUAUCAGGAAUGAUGCUGGGAAGCUGCAUUGCCGUCCUCCUGGGUGGUCUCAUCAGUCAAGUCCUUGGGUGGCCUUUCGUCUUCUAUAUCUUUGGAGGUGUUGGCUGUGUCUGCUGCCUUCCCUGGUUUGUUUUGGUUUAUGAUGACCCUGUCACUCACCCUUGGAUAAACACUGUAGAAAAAGACUAUAUCACAUCCUCCUUGGCCCAACAGGUACUCAUAAAAACUCCAGCUUUGUCCAGAGAGCUUGUGUCAGCAUCUGGAUUUAGCAGGGUGACUAAGAAUGAAUGUAUGAGCAUGUCACAGAUCUUAUGCUUCUUAUCAGUAAACUUGUUUUCAGGUCAGCUCUUCUAAGCAGUCUCUUCCCAUUAAAGCUAUGGUUAGAUCUCUGCCCCUCUGGUCCAUAUGUUUUUGCUGUUUCGGCCAUCAGUGGUUACUCAACACAAUGAUUAUAUACACACCAACUUACAUCAGCUCUGUGUUCAACAUCAAUAUCAGAGAUGUGAGUAUAUUUCCCUCGAACCCCUUCUCCUGUUUACAUGACUUGAGAAUUACUCUGCCUUCAGAAAUCAUUCUAAAAGAAAAAUUUUUAUUACCAAGAAAUAACCUAAGAGUCACUGAGUAGCUUUUCUGAGGGUAUGAUAGAAGAUGCUACCGAUUUCCUUAUGAAAGUAUGAUUUCAGAGUUGUCAGAAUGACUGUUAGUGUUUUAUCCAUACAAGGUGUGGUCUCGCAGCCUCUAUUGUGAUGGUUUAUUUGAUUUUUUUCCCCUCAGAGUGGGUUUCUGUCUACCCUUCCUUUUAUUACUGCCUGGGUCAUUGGUAUCCUGGGAGGCUACCUGGCAGAUUUCCUUCUGACCAAGAGUUUUAGGCUUGUUACGGUGAGGAAAGUUGCCACAGUUCUAGGUAAGAACAGGACCAAAAGUUCUGAUAAUUCAUGAGGCCUACAACAGCCAAAGAUGUAUCUUGUUCAAUUUGUCUGUUCCUCAUUCCUUAGGAAGUAUCCCCUCUUCAAUACUCCUUGUGGUUCUGCCCUAUGCUGCCUCCAACUACAUCAUAGCAGUGUGCCUUCUGACACUCUCCUCUGGACUAAGCCUGUUGUCACAGCCAGGGAUGUACAUCAAUGCCUUAGACAUUGCCCCAAGGCAUUCCAGCUUUCUCAUGGGAGCCUCCAGGGCGUUUGCACAGAUCUCUGCUGUCGUGGUACCCACUAUCAGUGGAUUUCUCCUCAAUCAGGACCCUGAAUUUGGGUGGAGGAAUAUCUUCUUCUUGUCUUUUGCCAUUAACGCAUUAGGACUUAUCUUCUACCUUAUAUUUGGAGAAGCAGAUGUCCAAGACUGGGCCAAAGAAAGGAAACUCACUCAUUUAUAAAGUUAUCCCACCUUGGAUGGAAAGUCAUUAAGCAUCUUAUUUCAUAAAUCAGAAGACUUCAGUGAUGGAAAUACCAACAGAUGGAAUUUUCCUUGCUGUGGCUCUUUUCAGAUCUGAGAUCUUUAUUUUACUCAAAUUUCUUUUUGAGGAAAAUAUAUGAUGAAUGGAAAUUCAAAUAAAAUGGUAGCCAAGAA